rnacentral:rRNA from 1 species
CCUACGGGUGGCAGCAGUGAGGAAUAUUGGUCAAUGGACGAGAGUCUGAACCAGCCAAGUAGCGUGAAGGAUGACUGCCCUAUGGGUUGUAAACUUCUUUUAUAUGGGAAUAAAAUGUUCCACGUGUGGGAUUUUGUAUGUACCAUAUGACUAAGGAUCGGCUAACUCCGUGCCAGCAGCCGCGGUAAUACGGAGGCUCCGAGCUUUAUCCGGCUUUAUUGGGUUUAAAGGGAGCGUAGGUGGAUUGUUAAGUCAGUUGUGAAAGUUUGCGGUUCAACCGUAAAAUUGCAGUUGAAACUGGCAGUCUGGAGUACAGUAGAGGUGGGCGGAAUUCGUGGUGUAGCGGUGAAAUGCUGAGAUAUCACGAAGAACUCCGAUUGCGAAGGCAGCUCACUGGACUGCAACUGACACUGAGGCUCGAAAGUGUGGGUAUCAAACAGGAUUAGAUACCCGGGUAGUC